rnacentral:snRNA from 1 species
GGAUGUGAGGGCGAUCUGUCUAUGACAUCUGUCACCCCAUUGAUCGCCAGGGUUGAUUCGGCUGAUGGGCUGGCUAGGCGAGUGUCACCUUCCUCCCUCACUCAUCCGUGUGUGCGUCCCCACUGAAGCUGUGCACUUGGCCAUCCUGGAUAGAGGAGGACUGUUCUUUGGUCAAGGGUAUACAAGUAGCCGAGCUCGCCUGCUAGAACCUCCAAACAAGCUCUCAGGCACACAGACAAGAUAAAACCAAAAUGGAGUCACAGAGGCUGUUUUCACAGCCAAGAGCUGGCAGUGUU